GGCUAAUCCUGGUCGGACAUCAGGAGGUUAGUGCAAUGGCAUAAGCCAGCUUGACUGCGAGCGUGACGGCGCGAGCAGGUGCGAAAGCAGGUCAUAGUGAUCCGGUGGUUCUGAAUGGAAGGGCCAUCGCUCAACGGAUAAAAGGUACUCCGGGGAUAACAGGCUGAUACCGCCCAAGAGUUCAUAUCGACGGCGGUGUUUGGCACCUCGAUGUCGGCUCAUCACAUCCUGGGGCUGAAGUAGGUCCCAAGGGUAUGGCUGUUCGCCAUUUAAAGUGGUACGCGAGCUGGGUUUAGAACGUCGUGAGACAGUUCGGUCCCUAUCUGCCGUGGGCGCUGGAGAACUGAGGGGGGCUGCUCCUAGUACGAGAGGACCGGAGUGGACGCAUCACUGGUGUUCGGGUUGUCAUGCCAAUGGCACUGCCCGGUAGCUAAAUGCGGAAGAGAUAAGUGCUGAAAGCAUCUAAGCACGAAACUUGCCCCGA
rnacentral:rRNA from 1 species